UACGUAGGGGGCAAGCGUUGUCCGGAUUCAUUGGGCGUAAAGAGCGUGUAGGCGGCCAGGUAGGUCGGUUGUGAAAACUGGAGGCUCAACCUUCAGACGUCGACCGAAACCAUCUGGCUAGAGUCCGGGAGAGGAGAGUGGAAUUCCUGGCGUAGCGGUGAAAUGCGCAGAUAUCAGGAGGAACACCAAUGGCGAAGGCAGCUCGCUGGGACGUGACUGACGCUGAGACGCGAAAGCGUGGGGAGCAAACAGG
rnacentral:rRNA from 1 species